rnacentral:rRNA from 1 species
GUCGAACGCUUGUUGGGGUUUCGGCCUCGACGGGAGUGGCGCACGGGUGAGUAGCGCGUGGGAACCUGCCCUGUUGUGGGGGAUAACCGAGGGAAACUUCGGCUAAUACCGCAUGCGCCCCCGGGAGUGAUCUUCGGAUUAGGCCUGGGGGGAAAGAUUGAUCGCAGCAGGAGGGGCCCGCGUCGGAUUAGCUGAUUGGUGGGGUAACGGUCCACCAAGGCGAUGAUCCGUAGCUGGUCUGAGAGGAUGAUCAGCCACACUGGGACUGAGACACGGCCCAGACUCCUACGGGAGGCAGCAGUGGGGAAUAUUGGACAAUGGGCGCAAGCCUGAUCCAGCAAGGCCGCGUGAGUGAUGAAGGCCUUAGGGUUGUAAAGCUCUUUCGCCCGCGACGAUGAUGACGGUAGCGGGAGAAGAAGCCCCGGCUAACUUCGUGCCAGCCGCCGCAGUAAUAC